rnacentral:rRNA from 1 species
UACGAAGGGUGCGAGCGUUAAUCGGAAUUACUGGGCGUAAAGCGUGCGCAGGCGGUUUUGUAAGCCAGAUGUGAAAUCCCCGGGCUUAACCUGGGAAUGGCAUUUGGGACUGCAAGGCUUGAGUGCGGCAGAGGAGACUGGAAUUCCUGGUGUAGCAGUGAAAUGCGUAGAUAUCAGGAGGAACACCGAUGGCGAAGGCAGGUCUCUGGGCUGACACUGACGCUCAUGCACGAAAGCGUGGGGAGCAAACAGG